rnacentral:lncRNA from 1 species
GUAGCGACAACCCUUAAAAGUGUAGAUUUUUGCCAACAGCUAUUCUCUUAAAUAUGGGUUAGUUUAUUUUGCGGUUAGUGGUUAUGAUGAGGUUAAGGGAGGAAUGAGAAUACUGGGCUUUGUGCCUUUAAGAAGAGACCACGUGGCCUCUGAAUUCUCAGGCAGGUCUGCAGGCAGUAGUGUUGCCUCCUGAGAUAUUUAUUUAAAAAUUACAGUAGUGGGUUGAAGAUGGAUUUGGCUUUUGGUAGGAAGGGGGCUAAAUCCUUUGCAGGGGAGGAGACAUGGCUUUAUGGACAAAGCUGGGAGGCAGAAGUCCAGCACCAGAAAAAUCAAAACUUCCUUGUCUCAGGACCAAGUUAACCAAGGUUGAGCUUUUCAGUAUGGGAAGGGCCGAAGAUGACAUGGUUGCUACUCUGAUUUAGAUUGUUGAGAGAGCUAUCCAGUUUUAACGUGCAUGACUGCAAGGCAGAAGCUGUACUUGGUAUCAGAGAGAUUGAAGCUGUAGUCAAAUUCACUUUGUUCACCUGGAUUGGUUAGUGAUGGAAGCCAUGAUUUAAAAUCCUACCAACAGUGACUUAGUUUCUCUUUAUGAAAGAAGAUAGAUUUUUACCUCUCCAAGAAUACUGACGUUCUCCAGCAGAACUAAUAAGUACCAAAAAUGUUUGAAUCUUCUUGCACAAAACCUGAUAAAAUUCCUUAAUAUUUGCCCUUGUUAUCUCUGUAAAUUAACAGCCAAGUAAAAAUAAAUAGUAUUUGAAUAAAUGUUGAACAUUUUUCUGUAUUAUAUUUUUAAAUGGAACAAGUGUACCUAAAACUUACAUUUUAUAACCUGGAACUUGAUGAAUUCAUUACAAUAACAUUUGAGCAGAAGAAUGGAUAGAAUUAAAUUCCUGUAACUAUUUUGUUACUACCUAAUUUGAGUAUGGUGUUCCAAGG